rnacentral:rRNA from 1 species
CCUACGGGUGGCAGCAGUGAGGAAUAUUGGUCAAUGGCCGGAAGGCUGAACCAGCCAAGCCGCGUGAAGGACGCAGGUGCCAAGCAUUGUACAAUUCUUUUGUCAAGGGACAAAAUCAGGCUCGAGAGCCUGACCGAGGGUACUUGCAGAAAAAGCAUCGGCUAACUCCGUGCCAGCAGACGCGGUAAUACGGAGGAUGCGAGCGUUCUCCGGAUUUAUUGGGUUUAAAGGGUGCGUAGGCGGACUGUUAAGUCAUCGGUAAAAGCCCGGGGCUCAACACCGGCGAGCCGUUGAGCCUGGCUGUCUUGAGAUGUCGAGAGGUAUGCGGAAUGCGCAGUGUAGCGGUGAAAUGCUUAGAUAUAACUUAGAACUCCGAUAGCGAAGGCAGCUUACCAGACUGCGACUGACGCUGAAGCACGAGAGCGUGGGUAGCGAACAGGAUUAGAUACCCUUGUAGUC